GUGAGGAAUAUUGGUCAAUGGACGAGAGUCUGAACCAGCCAAGUCGCGUGAAGGAAGACGGUUCUAUGAAUUGUAAACUUCUUUUGUGCAGGAAUAAAGUGGGUUACGUGUAACCUUUUGUAUGUACUGUACGAAUAAGGAUCGGCUAACUCCGUGCCAGCAGCCGCGGUAAUACGGAGGAUCCGAGCGUUAUCCGGAUUUAUUGGGUUUAAAGGGUGCGUAGGUGGAUUGAUAAGUCAGCGGUGAAAGUUUGCAGCUUAACUGUAAAAUUGCCGUUGAAACUGUCGGUCUUGAGUGCAAAUGAGGUAGGCGGAAUGUGUUGUGUAGCGGUGAAAUGCUUAGAUAUAACACAGUACUCCGAUUGCGAAGGCAGCUUACUGGGAUGCAACUGACACUGAUGCACGAAAGCGUGGGUAUCAAACAGGAUUAGAAACCCCUGUAGUCC
rnacentral:rRNA from 1 species